rnacentral:rRNA from 1 species
AUUGAACGCUGGCGGCAGGCUUAACACAUGCAAGUCGAGCGGAGAUGAGGUGCUUGCACCUUAUCUUAGCGGCGGACGGGUGAGUAAUGCUUAGGAAUCUGCCUAUUAGUGGGGGACAACAUUCCGAAAGGGAUGCUAAUACCGCAUACGUCCUACGGGAGAAAGCAGGGGAUCUUCGGACCUUGCGCUAAUAGAUGAGCCUAAGUCGGUUUAGCUAGUCGGUGGGGUAAAGGCCUACCAAGGGGACGAUCUGUAGCGGGUCUGAGAGGAUGAGCGGGCACGCUGGGACUGGGACACGACCCAGAAUCCUACGGGAGGCAGCAGUGGGGAAUAUUGGACAGUGGGGGGAACCCUGAUCAAGCCAUGCCGCGUGUGUGAAGAAGGCCUUAUGGUUGUAAAGCAGUUUAAGCGAGGAGGAGGCUACUGAGACUAAUACUCUUGGAUAGUGGACGUUACUCGCAGAAUAAGCACCGGCUAACUCUGUGCCAGCCGCCGCAGUAACAC